CACUCUCUUUUGUCCCCUUUGCUUUUAUACAAAGGAACUAUGCAUGCUCUCUGCAUAUAUAACAGUACAUAUAUAACAGUAGUUAUAUAUAUAUGUAUUUAUUUAUAUAUUCAACUUGGGGUAUUUUCAACUUAGGAUGGGUUUGUUGGAACGUAACCCCAUUGUAAGUCUAGGACUACCUUUACAGUAAAAAUCUUUUACAAUAAGAGCACAACUUAGAAACACGUUGAGAAUUUUAUGUAUUGUAUAUAUGAUUAUUGUGUAUAAUAUCAUUAUUAUACACAAUUCAGGAGGUCCCCAAUGUGUUCGUAAAUUCAAGACUUAUUGUAUUUAGUUUUUAAUUUGUUUUUAAUAAUUACAGCUGUAGUCUGGCAGUACAGUUAGCCAAAAUCCGGCAGUUGGUCCUCAUCAUCUCUACGGAUCCUGUGCACAACAUCUCUGAUGCCUUUGACCAAAAGUUAUGCAUGGUUCCUAUUCGAGUCAAGAGGGUUUGACAACCUAUAUCCUAUGGCUGGUUCAGGAUAUGGACUUAGAGUGUUGGUGUUUUGACACUGCUCCAACCGGGCACACACUGCGUCUAAUCUCGUUUGCUCAAGUAAUUGAAAACUCAAUAGGGGAGUUAAUGAGAAGCAACCAGAUCAGUCCCUUCAUAAACCAGUUCAUGCGACAUCCACUACUCCGAGGGCGUGCAGUCACUCAACUGGGCCAAAGUUAUGAAGACGAUCAUUGAUGACCCUGACGGCUUUUUUGACCAGGAAGGACGGUCAUUCCUGGACCCCGACUCAGAUGCGGAAAAUGAACAGGAGGAGACCGAAAAUUUGGAGGACGACGGAGCGUAUGCCCCCACAGACGAGGAGCUGGGGUCUGAGGAAGAGAGCGAGGACUACUCCGAAGGACACUCAGAAGCAUCUGAUUCAGAAUAUAGCGAAGGUGGUGCCAUAUUCCACGUUGAUCAUCAGUGGUAUAUAUGGGGCAGUGAACUCACCCAAACUUGUAACCAUCCCUGAUGCCAAGGUCCUCCUGCAGCCUAUAUACACUCUGGCUCCUUACCAGUUUAAGUUUUUUUAUAUUUACUCAAGGAUAUUUACAGGGUUGGGUUAAAAGUUGCUAUCUUUAUUUACAAGAGCUGUUACUUAAGUUCAACUUAUUUGAAAACCUUUUUAUUUUAUGAACACAAUGGAUUUUGAUUUUUUUUUGGUUAUCAUGGUGGGUAUUUUACAAAUAUGUAUUGUAAUUAUAAUUAAGUGUACUUGUAGCUUACUUACAAACAAAAUGAAAUUGGAGGCAUAUGUGGGCUAGAAAUUUUAUUUGGUCAUCUGACUUUAUUUCGGUUAUGUUAUGUUAUACGGACAUGUUCCAUUUUAGAAUCAUGUUAUGAAUAAAUGAUCUCAGAUGAAGUGAUGUUCUGAGGUAGGGUACAUUGAGAGUAUGGUUACUUGUUUCUUCCUGCCUUGUGGUGUAGAAGCUCACUUUUUGUUGCUUUUAGAGUGGAGGUAUUUUGACACUAUUGGCCUUGUCUACAACAGUAAGGCAACCCACAUCCCUACAGUGUUGAAGGCUCUGUUGAAAUGAUGGAUCUGUCCAGGCUGGGUUCAGACAAGAGAUAAGUUGUCUUGCUCUGUUCAUUAUUGUGUCAAGAAAUCACAGAUGAGACAUGGGGCAGGCAAUCCAAGAAGGUGGAGUAUACUGAAGGUGUAAGCAGUCUUACUUGAUACAGAGUCUUGCGGCUUGUACUGUUUAGAGUCAAAUUUUAGCGCAAGGAUAUGAACCUCAUUCCAGGGUACCAAUACACUCCCAUUCAUUCUUACCAUUGCUCAAGCAUUACUAUCAUGGUGCCUAGAGACCAUCAUCUUUAUUUUCUUAGAAGGAAAUGCAACCUGCCAUCAUUUUUCUUAGGCUAAUAUAGCUGUAAGCUGGUGAUUGAUAUAAUAUAGAACGGCCAGCAUUUCCUUUCCUAGAUAAGUGAAUGUUAGAGUACAGUCAUCUCCAUAUGCAUGAGCUUGUAGAAUGAGCUGAAGGUUAUUGAAAUAAACUUUCCAUAACAAUAGCAUAAGCACAAUUCCAUGUGAUACACUGGUACUAGUAGUGUGUGUUGUUGACUCUGUUCCACUUAGAACUACACUUAGAGAUAUAGCUUAGAGGUAAUCAGUGAGAAAGCAUAGUGUAGAUGUAGCUGUUAACUUGUAGUUUUGCCAAGAGUCCCUGGUGCCAUACUUGGUGGAAAUGUAGCAAUGUCCAGUGCUACUACACAUCUGAGUGUGGAUUCAUGUAGCGACUAGUGCCACUUGGUGGAGAAGUUUAACAAGAGAUCAGCAGAAGAGUAACCUUUUCUUAAGGCAUAUUGAUGAUCACAAAGAAGUGACUGAUAUUUGAAAAACUCAUCCUUAUUAGUUGUGAGGUUAUUAUCUAAGGAAUCUUGCCAGUGAUUGAUGAGAAUGACACAAGUCUCUCAUUGUUGAUUUCCAUUCUACUCUUACUUUUGUGAACAGGAAAAGAACAUUUACUUAUUUCCACAGAGAAGGCCAUUUACACUACUAGGCACUGCUGAUAGUUGUGAGUUAGAGGUGGUCGUAGGUGGUCUUGACAUUUACUCAACAAUCUUGGACUCACAGCAUUUUUAUUCCUCUCUGUCUGACUGUACUCACCUAUUUAUAUUUCUCAGUUCCUUACAUAUGGACUUAUAUUUUGAAUAUAAUAAUAGUAAUAAUAAUAAUAAUAAUGCAGAAAGUAAAAUUGAGACUUAUUUACUUUAGUGUCCACUGAUAGACAUACUGUAUUCUGUAAAUAAAUAAUCAUAUACAAAAAACCACAUAGUAAUUAUUAUUAUGAUAAUGAAGAUGAUAUUUCUUAUUACAGAGAGAUUCACCAUCACUGCCACACAAGAUGCUGGCCAUGUGUUAUGUCUCAGCAGAUCCUGGAGGAUGUAGAUAGUUUAUGACAAAGUGUACCACCAUUGAGAUGCCCUUGUGUGUCUACGAUGCCAACCAGAAUAAAGAUACUAACAGCUUCAAGGGCCCCAGGGUAGUUGUGUGCAGCAUAGACAAUAUGCCCACACAGCUGCCCAGGGAAGGCAUGGAUUUAUUCGGGUCUCUGGUGGUGCCUCAUAUGUACGACAUGUUGAAGUCUGAUACUUCCAAGCCCUUCGAGGAGCAGUCAGUCAUUCACCCACGAAGUGCAUGGGAAGUGCACCUUUAGCACUCACUACAAGAGGUUUAAAUCAAGGAAUAAAUUGUUAGAGUGAAAUUGUAAGGAGCAGCACCUACUAUGAGGCAGUGGAAAAAUCAAGUUGACACAGGCAACGGCCCC